GCCACAGUGGCCUAAUGGAUAAGGCACUGGCCUCCUAAGCCAGGGAUUGUGGGUUCAAGUCCCAUCUGUGGUG
rnacentral:tRNA from 1 species